rnacentral:lncRNA from 1 species
GUGUUUAGAAAGUUAGAAAAUAAACUGAUGAAUGUAAACGCGUACGCAAACCAUGUAAUGGGAGCAAAAACGCUAACGUUUGAUAAGCCCGAGACGGGUAUAUCUUGCGAUGCCGGAUGACGAUCAAGCUAAAUAAAGAACCGAACACGAUCAAGAUACAAGCUUCCACACUAUGUUUCAUCGCCAUUUUUAAACGACGAACUCAUACAUAUUAUGUUGUAUUAUUUUAAAUUUGAAAAUGUUUUAAUAAACCCGUAUU